AGGGAUUGCCCUAGUAACGGCGAGUGAAGCGGCAACAGCUCAAAUUUGAAAUCUGGCGCAAGCCCGAGUUGUAAUUUGUAGAGGAUGCUUCUAGGUAGCGACCGGUCUAAGUUCCUUGGAACAGGACGUCAUAGAGGGUGAGAAUCCCGUAUGUGACCGGCCCGCACCUUCUACGUAGCUCCUUCGACGAGUCGAGUUGUUUGGGAAUGCAGCUCUAAAUGGGAGGUAAAUUUCUUCUAAAGCUAAAUACCGGCCAGAGACCGAUAGCGCACAAGUAGAGUGAUCGAAAGAUGAAAAGCACUUUGGAAAGAGAGUUAAAAAGCACGUGAAAUUGUUGAAAGGGAAGCGCUCACAACCAGACUUCUGGGCGGUGUUCCGCCGGUCUUCUGACCGGUCUACUCACCGUCCCGAGGCCAACAUCAUCUGGGACCGCUGGAUAAGACCUCAGGAAUGUAGCUCCCCCUCGGGGGAGUGUUAUAGCCUGUGGUGAUGCAGCGCGUCUCGGGUGAGGUCCGCGCUUCGGCAAGGAUGUUGGCGUAAUGGUUGUCAGCGGCCCGUCUUGAAACACGGACCAAGGAGUCUAACAUCUAUGCGAGUGUUCGGGUGUCAAACCCCUACGCGUAAUGAAAGUGAACGGAGGUGGGAAGCGUAAGCUGCACCAUCGACCGAUCCUGAUGUCCUCGGAUGGAUUUGAGUAAGAGCAUAGCUGUUGGGACCCGAAAGAUGGUGAACUAUGCCUGAAUAGGGUGAAGCCAGAGGAAACUCUGGUGGAGGCUCGCAGCGGUUCUGACGUGCAAAUCGAUCGUCAAAUUUGGGUAUAGGGGCGAAAGACUAAUCGAAA
rnacentral:rRNA from 1 species